rnacentral:rRNA from 1 species
GACGAACCGUGCGAACGUUAUUCGGAAUCACUGGGCUUAAAGGGCGCGUAGGCGGAUUUGCAAGUCUGUGGUGAAAUCCUCCAGCUUAACUGGAGAAGUGCCGUGGAUACUGCGAGUCUCGAGGAAGGUAGGGGCAUCUGGAACUGCCGGUGGAGCGGUGAAAUGCGUUGAUAUCGGCAGGAACUCCGGUGGCGAAGGCGAGAUGCUGGAUCUUUUCUGACGCUGAGGCGCGAAAGCCAGGGGAGCAAACGGG